rnacentral:rRNA from 1 species
UACGGAGGGUGCAAGCGUUAAUCGGAAUUACUGGGCGUAAAGCGCACGCAGGUGGUUGAGUCAGUCGGUUGUGAAAGCCCUGGGCUUAACCUGGGAAUUGCAGUCGAUACUACUCAGCUAGAGUAUGGGAGAGGGUAGUGGAAUUCCCGGUGUAGCGGUGAAAUGCGUAGAUAUCGGGAGGAACAUCAGUGGCGAAGGCGGCUACCUGGCCCAAUACUGACACUCAGGUGCGACAGCGUGGGGAGCAAACAGG